GGGCCGGGGGCUGUGCCUUCAGCUUGGGACGUUUAAAGGGCAAAUUCAUGUUAUCUGUCCCAGCGAGCACAGGGAACACCAUGUCUCUGCAGCAUGUGGGCCGCUGUAUUUAUAGCACACGAAGGCUUAGGCUGCGGCCGACCUGGGGACAGACACGGGACCGAUGCCUCAAGCAGGGCUUUCUUUAACCUCAGACCUGCACGGGACCCGUUCCUGGUCAAAGGAUUUCAGCUAGUUUUUACUUCUUCCUUGUAACUCACUGCCUGGAUGUGGGCCUCUCGAAGUUGUGUGCGCUCGCAAAUAGAUAAGAUCCUGAAAAAUAAAUACUACGUCACUUGAUGCUGUGAUUGCCUCAUAUAAUAUGGCAACCUGCUGCAUCCCUUCUUUCCAUUCACUCAUUCAAUCAUUCAUUCGGCUCCCAGUUUUUUUUUAUGUGCCUGGCAGCGCCACCAGGAAAGACCAAGUGCAGGGAGCCGCUAGGUGAAUACUUGUUUUAGCAAGCUUGCCCACGAAUGCUGGCAUCAUGUUAGGCGUUACUUAGCUACCGCUGUGUGUCGCCCUGGGUCUGGAGACUUCAGGAGAGCAGGAGGUCCAUGCCAGGCCCACAAAGCGUAUGCGUUUGUCUGAGCUUGGAGCAGUCUAGAGUUCAGAAAUCCAGUAGGAGCUAUAUUUCUCCUUGGCGUCUGUCCAGUUAUCCUGUCACGUUUUGGAGCUGUAGCUGGAAUCCUUGACAACAGGUUUUCCAUGGAAAUCUAUAGACUGUCCUCUCCCUCCAUGGACUUUCUCAGAAAAGAGAGGCCUCAGAUGUCCUAAGGGGCAUGAGUUGCCUCUGAUCACAAGAUCUGGGUAUCGCUUACACAGGCAGGGGAGAGAGUGGCACUGAGCAGAACAUGUGUCUUCCUACCAGUCCUAGUACUCAGUGGCUUUCUGCCAGUAUGACAGUGGACAAGGUAUCUAGGAGACAAGAGAGAAUCUUGCCUUCAUAUGUGGCAUGGUAACCAGGAAGUUGGAAGGGACAGGGCUGUGUAGAAAUGAGAGUAGGGUAUUAAGCUAGUGUUCUCAUUUUUAGUGGAAGCUUUUAAAGAACCUUAAAUCUUUUACCAACUUGGGAAUAGAGAACAGGAGCUGCUAAAAGUAAAAGGCACAAGAAAUAAAGGAAAUCACUUAAGGAUUUGCUGGUGGUGGUGAUGAUGUAAUGCAUAUGUGUAGGUGAAUACUAAAGCUGUUGGCAGUUAAAACACACUAUUACUGUGUGUUCACAUGGUACAUUUUAGCAUUAAGCAAAGAGCAGUGAAUUCUGAAAAUUUAUUUUUUGAUCAUAUAAGACCAUAUAUGAAUUGCUGAAUUUCAAUCGAAGGUAUUUAAUAGACUCAUUCAUGGGGAUACAUUGCUUCAAAAAGGCAAAAUGAAAUAAAUGAUGUGAUAUUUCUCCACAAUUUCUGCUGAAGGUAGCUUAGUUAAUUAGAACAAUACCUCAAUUGACAAAUUCUUUAUAAUCAAGAGCUUUUAUAGGAAAGUCCUUCUCAAAGUACACACAUAUACUCCACACAUACCUUCUGAAAUCAUGAGUAUUCCUGCAAAAAGCUACACUACUAGCACCUAGUUAGCUAAUGCAAGCAAAAUUAUGAAACUGCAAAACAUGUCUUUGUUUUCAACCCAUUUGUUCAUUCUUGAACCUUCUUAACCUUUAGUGAUCACCUCUCCAGUCUCCACUUUCCUCC